rnacentral:lncRNA from 1 species
AAGUCUAUUGGUACGGCUGUAUCUCUUGCAUGCAACAGACCUAUUCAACAAUACAUUCAUCUCGUCUGCUACAGGGUGCGCCAGCUGCUUCGAACCUUUCGCCGCCGGAGCGCGAAGGCGGAAACCGAUGGAGCCAGUUCGGGAAGAUGCAAGAAUUUGCGGAAGUUGCUACAUAAUAGAGUAUCGAAAAAGGAAGCCCGAAAAACGCUGCAGCGUAUGUGGCGCCUUCAAAAAAAACCGAAAAUUCAACACACUGCUGGAAUGCAACAAAUGCUAUUAUCAGCGCAUCAGCAGCAGCUAAGGCAUUCCUUCCUAACUCGAGGCAUCCUUCGCAUUCCUCUGUACAUAAUUUGUAAUAUAAGUAUGUAAAUUAAUUAUUUCCUUAGUAUUUUUCCUUUUGUAUAUAAUUUGUAAAUCUGUAAAUAUGUACAAUUAUUGUAUAAAAUUCGUAAAUCUGUAAAUAUGUACAAUUAUUGUGUAUAAUUCGUAAAUCUGUAAAUAUGUACAAUUUUUGUAUAUAAUUCGUAAAUCUGUAAAUAUGUACAAUUAUUGUAUAUAAUUCGUAAAUCUGUUAAUAUGUACAAUUUUUGUAUAUAAUUCGUAAAAUGUGUUAAGCGUGGUAAGCGUAUACCGUGCUUGAUGGUCUGGUUGCGAAAAUCUGCGGCUGAUGCAUGUAUCAAUCCCAUUGAAUCGUGGGUAAUCUUAAAGCCGUUCCUGUGGCGGGAAGGUAGUUGUAUUUUCUCAUCGUGAUAAUUAAACGAAAGAGAGUUCCGCAACCCAGCGAGAACCAAUUUUGGUACAGCACUGAACGACUCGCCGGAGGAUAAAUUGAAAGCGAAAUAACAAUUAUCACACACAGAAUACUAGAACUUUUCUUCCUUCUUUUAGUUCAUACGACACGAUCAAAAUGAUUGCAAUAAAGUUGAAAUUCACUGUGCGAGCUUAUGAGUUUUUGACCAUGAUGAAGAACAGACACAUAACCUAAAAUGUCAACAAACCUGUUGUUGUGGCGAGCAAUUUGAAUUUUGAAACGACCGACUGAUUGAAAAAGCUUGUUGUCUAUCUCUCGUUCAGCAAUCGAGGGUUGGUGGCGGCUGUUCGCUUGGAAUUAAAUGGCCAAAUUGGCCGGUUGAAUACGGAAUUAAAUGCACAAUCUGACACAUGAGCAGCCGGCCUCUGUCUUCUGUUGAAGGGAUGCGUAUCGUCACCUACCUGACACAA